GUCAGGAUGGCCAAAUGGUCUAAAGUACAAGACUCAGGCUCCUGCUUGUGGCUGGGAUUUCUGGUCUCUGCAUGGAGAUGUGGGUUUGAAUCCCACUUCUGACA
rnacentral:tRNA from 1 species